AACGACUCUCGACAACGGAUAUCUCGGCUCUCGCAUCGAUGAAGAACGUAGCGAAAUGCGAUACUUGGUGUGAAUUGCAGAAUCCCGUGAACCAUCGAGUCUUUGAACGCAAGUUGCGCCCGAAGCCACUAGGCCUGAGGGCACGCCUGCCUGGGUGUCACG
rnacentral:rRNA from 1 species